UCUCCUACCCACUGGUGCUCAGGGAAAGCCCCUCCCCCAUGAAACUCAACCAGGGUGGACAAGAGGAAAGGGUGUGUGUACAAUAAGUCUCAUGUAACGUGGCAUGUGAUGGCACAGCAUGGAAAGACAGGACGACAGCUAUUUUGACUUCUGAAGAAACAGGGACUUUUCCAUUCGGGGGGGGGGGGAUACAUGGAGUCGACAGCAAAACUGUCUGUAAAUGAGAAGGAUAGCUGUAACGUUCAAGGGUUAUCCACUGCUAACAACCUAUAGAUAUGGCAGGAGAACUUCAUCAUUAAACCUCUGUUUUUUUCUUACUUUA